AAAAAAAACAAAAAAGAGAAAAUGAUGGAAAAAAAACAUGUGUGGUGCGUGUGUGUGCAUUCGCUGUGCUUCUGUUGUU
rnacentral:ribozyme from 12 species